rnacentral:rRNA from 1 species
AGAGUUUGAUCAUGGCUCAGAUUGAACGCUGGCGGAAUGCUUUACACAUGCAAGUCGAACGGCAGCACGAGAGCUUGCUCUUGGUGGCGAGUGGCGAACGGGUGAGUAAUAUAUCGGAACGUAUCCAAUAAUGGGGGAUAACUAAUCGAAAGGUUGGCUAAUACCGCAUACGCCCUACGGGGGAAAGCAGGGGAUCUUCGGACCUUGCGUUAAUGGAGCGGCUGAUAUCUGAUUAGCUAGUAGGUGAGGUAAAGGCUCACCUAGGCUUCGAUCAGUAGCUGGUCUGAGAGGACGACCAGCCACACUGGAACUGAGACACGGUCCAGACUCCUACGGGAGGCAGCAGUGGGGAAUUUUGGACAAUGGGCGCAAGCCUGAUCCAGCCAUUCCGCGUGAGUGAAGAAGGCCUUCGGGUUGUAAAGCUCUUUCGCAAGGGAAGAAACGUUACGAGCGAAUAACUCGUGAUAAUGACGGUACCUUGAUAAGAAGCACCGGCUAACUACGUGCCAGCAGCCGCGGUAAUACGUAGGGUGCGAGCGUUAAUCGGAAUUACUGGGCGUAAAGCGUGCGCAGGCGGUUUUGUAAGUCAGAUGUGAAAUCCCCGAGCUCAACUUGGGAACUGCGUUUGAAACUACAAGGCUAGAGUAUGGUAGAGGGGGGGUAGAAUUCCACGUGUAGCAGUGAAAUGCGUAGAGAUGUG